rnacentral:misc_RNA from 1 species
GAGCAACUAAUUGAAGUUGCAGCAGGGUUGGAAAUGAGUGAACAAAGGUUCUUGUGGGUAGUUAGAUGCCCUAAUGACAAAAUAGCUAACGCUACUUUUUUUAAUGUCCAAGAUUCAACGAACCCUCUUGAGUUUUUACCAAAAGGGUUCUUGGAAAGGACCAAAGGGUUUGGUUUAGUGUUGCCUAAUUGGGCCCCACAAGCUCGAAUAUUGAGCCAUGAGUCGACGGGUGGAUUCUUGACUCAUUGUGGA